rnacentral:rRNA from 1 species
GACGAACGCUGGCGGCGUGCUUAACACAUGCAAGUCGAACGGAAAGGCCCUGCUUUUGUGGGGUGCUCGAGUGGCGAACGGGUGAGUAACACGUGAGUAACCUGCCCUUGACUUUGGGAUAACUUCAGGAAACUGGGGCUAAUACCGGAUAGGAGCUCCUGCUGCAUGGUGGGGGUUGGAAAGUUUCGGCGGUUGGGGAUGGACUAGCGGCUUAUCAGCUUGUUGGUGGGGUAGUGGCUUACCAAGGCUGUGACGGGUAGCCGGCCUGAGAGGGUGACCGGCCACAUUGGGACUGCGGUACGGCCCAGACUCCUACGGGAGGCAGCAGUGGGGAAUAUUGCACAAUGGGCGGAAGCCUGAUGCAGCAACGCCGCGUGCGGGAUGACGGCCUUCGGGUUGUAAACCGCUUUCGGCUGUGACGAAGCGUGAGUGACGGUAAUGGGUAAAGAAGCACCGGCUAACUACGUG